GUCGAACGCGAAUGGAGCAAUCCUAGUAGAGCGGCGCACGGGUGCGUAACACGUGGGUAAUCUGCCUAGAAGACUGGAAUAACCUGCCGAAAGGCUGGCUAAUACCGGAUAAGCCUCCGGGGUCCUCGGACCUUGAAGGAAAAGGUGGCCUCUGUAUACAAGCUAUCACUUCUAGAUGAGCCCGCGGCCCAUCAGCUAGUUGGCGGGGUAACGGCCCACCAAGGCAACGACGGGUAGCUGGUCUGAGAGGACGAUCAGCCACACUGGAACUGAGGCACGGUCCAGACUCCUACGGGAGGCAGCAGUGGGGAAUUUUGCACAAUGGGCGAAAGCCUGAUGCAGCAACGCCGCGUGUGUGAUGAAGGUCUUCGGAUCGUAAAGCACUUUCGACCGGGAAGAACACCCUUUGGCUAACAUCCAGGGGCCUGACGGUACCGGGAGAAGAAGCACCGGCUAACUCUGUGCCAGCAGCCGCGGUAAUACAGAGGGUGCAAGCGUUGUUCGGAAUUAUUGGGCGUAAAGCGCGUGUAGGCGGCUUUGCAAGUCGGGUGUGAAAGCCCUCAGCUCAACUGAGGAAGUGCGCCCGAAACUGCAUAGCUUGAGUACCGGAGAGGAUGGUGGAAUUCCCGAAGUAGAGGUGAAAUUCGUAGAUAUCGGGAGGAACACCGGUGGCGAAGGCGACCAUCUGGACGGAUACUGA
rnacentral:rRNA from 1 species